rnacentral:rRNA from 1 species
GAUGAACGCUGGCGGCGUGCCUAAUACAUGCAAGUCGAGCGGUAAGGUCCCUGCAGGUUAUUUAAUGGAUGAGACAGGUCGCGAUUGCGUAGCAAUCGCAUCAUCAUCGAAGGAUUGAAUAACGUGCUGGGAUACACGAGCGGCGGACGGCUGAGUAACACGUAGGAACAUACCCCAAACUGAGGGAUAAGCGUCGGAAACGACGUCUAAUACCGCAUGUGGUCUUCGGACUAAAGCUACGGCGGUUUGGGAAUGGCCUGCGCAUGAUUAGCUUGUUGGUGAGGUAAUAGCUCACCAAGGCGACGAUCAUUAGCUGGUUUGAGAGGAUGACCAGCCAGACUGGGACUGAGAACGGCCCAGACUCCUACGGGAGGCAGCAGUAGGGAAUUUUCCACAAUGGGCGAAAGCCUGAUGGAGCAACGCCGCGUGCAGGAUGAAUGCCUUCGGGUUGUAAACUGCUUUUAUAUGUGACGAUUAUGACGGUAGCAUAUGAAUAAGGAUCGGCUAACUCCGUGCCAGCAGCCGCGGUAAUAC